rnacentral:rRNA from 1 species
AUGCAUGCAGUCGAGCGACGCAUGCCGGAGGGGUAACCCACUGGUAUGACGGAGCGGCGAACGGGUGAGUAACACGUGAGCAACCUGCCCCACAGACCGGAACAGCCCAGGGAAACCUGGAUUAAUGCCGGAUGACCUCAUCGGACCACAUGGCCUGAUGAGGAAAUGCCUUUGUGCUGUGGGAUGGGCUCGCGGCUUAUCAGCUAGUUGGUGGGGUAACGGCCUACCAAGGCGUCGACGAGUAGCUGGUCUGAGAGGACGAUCAGCCACACUGGGACUGAGAUACGGCCCAGACUCCUACGGGAGGCAGCAGCAGGGAAUCUUGCGCAAUGGGCGAAAGCCUGACGCAGCAACGCCGCGUGGGGGAUGACGGCCUUCGGGUUGUAAACCCCUUUCAGGAGGGAAGAAAUUGACGGUACCUCCAAAAGAAGCACCGGCCAACUACGUGCCAGCAGCCGCGGUAAUACGUAGGGUGCGAGCGUUAUCCGGAAUCAUUGGGCGUAAAGAGCUCGUAGGCGGUUCAGCAAGUCGGCUGUGAAAGUCCGAGGCUCAACCUCGGAACUGCAGUCGAUACUGCUGUGACUCGAGUCCGGUAGAGGAGAAUGGAAUUCCCGGUGUAGC